rnacentral:rRNA from 1 species
UACGUAGGUGCAAGCGUUGCCCGGAUUUAUUGGCGAAAGGGCGCGCAGGCGGCUACGCACGUCGUUGUGAAAUCGCCCGGCUCAACUGGGCGGGGUCAGCGAAUACGGCGUGGCUGGAGCAAGCUAGGGGGCAAUGGAAUUCCCGGUGUAGUGGUGGAAUGCGUAGAGAUCCGGAAGACACCGGGUGGCGAAGGCGGCCUGCUGGGUAGUAGCUGACACUGAGGCGCGACAGCGUGGGGGAGCAAACAG